rnacentral:ncRNA from 1 species
AAGAGCGGAGUGACGGGAGACUUUCACGCUCCGUUCCGUGGGAGCCCGGGGGUGCGAUUCCCCCGGGCCACCGACCCUCGG